rfam:Anolis carolinensis chromosome 3, whole genome shotgun sequence.
AGGCAUGAGGGCGAUCUGGCUGCGACAUCUGUCACCCCAUUGAUCACCAGGGUUGAUUCAGCUGAUCUGGCUGGUUAGGUGGGUGUCCCCUUUCUCCCUCACUGCUUCAUGUGCGUCCCUCCCGAAGCUGCACACCCGUUGGAAGAGGACGAUGUCCCAGGUAUAGAAGGAGUAUACCGAGGUCUCCAGUCUUCGGUCCCGGGUAUACGAUAGCUGCACUCCCCUGCUAGAACCACCAAACAAGCUCAAGAUCAGGCAUGAGGCAAACUUCGGCCCUCC